CACCAAGUUAUGGAACUUGACUCUCUCUCUCUCUAUAUAUAUAUAUGUAUUUUUUUUUUUAUGACAGGAGGAAGUUAACAACUGGAGAGGAAGGUGUGUGUUCCUAGCAACCAAAUUAGACCACUUCACUGAUGGAGCCAGUCCCUCUGUCUCCCUGUUGGCUACCAACUGCAUGGAUGAAACUUUCCCGUGGCCUUCCUCUUUGUACAUGGAGUGUUAAGACAGAGGCACAUCUUCUCCAGAACAAACCAACUGCUGACCUGGAAACCGUUGUGUAUGAGUUGACUGUUACUUGCUGACAGAAAGAAGAAUGGAGCAAACAAGUGUAGCCAUGAGGAACUGUUGUGGUGAAGCUGAUCAUGUCCUGGUCCGGCUUAUUCAGAAACACCACCUGGCCGGGAGUGGUGGCUCAUGCCUGUAAUACCAGCACUUUGGGACCAAGGCAGGCAGAUCUCCUGAGGUGGGGAGUUCGAGACCAGUCUGACCAAUAUAGAGAAAACCCGUCUCUACUAAAAAUACAAAAUUAGCCGGGCGUGGUAGACAUGCCUGUAAUUCUAGCUACUGGGGAGUCUAAGGCAGGAGGAUCGCUUGAACCUGGGAGGCGGAGACGUUUGGUGAGCCAAGAUUGCGCCAUUGUACUCCAGCCUGGGCAAUAAGAGCAAAACUCUGUCUCAAAAAAACAAAACAAAACAAAACAAAACAAAAACCAGAAACACCACCUCAUCAACGCCUGGAAGAGGGCACCUCCUGCUGGAGCUGGGGUGGAAAGAAGCAAAGCAGAGAAGGACUGAUCCUAAAGGAAGCCACCAAAGCGUUAUUAUUUUUUUGUUUAUUUAUUUCUGACCUCACUAUAGAGAGGAUUUCAUGCAGUUUACCAUGGUACAGAAAAACUUAAAACAUUCUGAGUAUGACUGGAAGACGGUAUAGCAUUAUAAAUAAGAGACUACUGCGUUGGUAUCUAGGCUCUACCACUCACAGGCUGCGUGAACUUGGGCAGAUGACUUAAUCUGUGUGCUUCAGUUUUCUAAUCUUUAAGAUGUGGAUCAUAACCAUGCUUACCUCCCAGGGUUGCUGUGAGGAUUAUGCCAGAAAAUAAUGUGAACUAGCAGAACAAUAUCUGGCACAUGGUACGUUCUCAGUACUGUGAUGAUUCCUUUGUCCUCAGCUCCUCUGACUCUAAGACUUAGGGUAGGUAAGUAGCUAGUUACAGGGAACAGAGCCCUGUGUUUAAUGUGACUAUUGAGUGAGAGCCUUCUGCAAGUACUUAUUGGCAAGACAGACUUCUGUGGAUGAGUUAUGUAAGUGGCAUCCCAGAGGUCCCGGCAUGGAUGCAAACCAAUUAAGUUAAGCACUUACCACAAUCACAAGUGCAACUCAUAGGUUUAAAAGUGGGAAGAGAGUACAUGUGAACUUGGCUCUGUAGUACUUUGCUUUGUCAAACCUAUUAGAAAUAUAGCCAAUGAAUUCUUCACUCUAGUUCUAAAUUUUGGAGCACUUUUUAAUCUAAUGAGGCAUAGAGUUCUUGAUCUACCUCUUAUUAGCUGGACAACCUUUUAAAAUACUCUCUAAGAUGCCAUUUCCUCAUCUGUAUUUAAAAAAUUUAAUGCAAGAAUCAGAAAUCACCUUAGGAAUUUUGAAGCACAAAGGGAGUUAACACUGGAAUUAAGUGCUUUAAAAAUUAUUGGAAGGGCUGAAGGCGGGGUUCUAGAUUGCGUAUGUAGAAAUGGCUCCUGAAACAUCGCAGAUAAUUAUGUGACCUUUUUCACAAUCAGGAUGGUGAGGAACCAGCAGCUUGCCACCGGAGUACCCGAGGUCCAGAACACACCAUCUCAGGUACUAUUCACACUAUUCGGACAUCAGCCUCCACUGCCACUGCAAGUAUCUGGACACUGGACCACUGAAAUCAGUUGUCAACCCUGCUACAAAUGCCUCUGAAAGCUGUAGAUGUGACAUUAGUAUCUCCAUAAUUUUUCUUGCAAGGUGAAAAACAGCAAACAUAGCAGGAAAUUGCCCUUUCCCUCAUUUCUGCCCCCUGAAUCU
rnacentral:lncRNA from 1 species